CCGGCUGCACCUUGGUGGGUGGUAGUCGGCGGAGCUUCUGCCGCGGCCGAGGGCAACAGGCGCUUCAUGCCCAGCCGCCCGUUGUCGGAACCGGAGUCCGAAAGUUAGUGCCUUUGAACUACAAAGCAGAAGCUUGAUUUGCAGUAGGGCGACCAUGUAGUCUGGAUUUACCUGAUUUCAAAUAUCUGGGCGGCUGCUGACCUAGGUAUCUUCUGUGGAGAAGGGCAUAAUCACCACGUGAACAUUUUAGAAGGUUGGGAAAAAUUUUCCAAACCGGCUAUAAAACAUGGACACACUGGGAAAAUGGUGGUUAAUGAAAAAUAACUCUGUAACCCCUCACCAUAAAUAUGAAACAUCUGGAAGGUUUCCCACAGUAAUUGGCCCGGAAGCAUCCUAACUUAAUGGCCGUGUUUUUUCAAUGGGAGACUGAAUUCCAUAGGGAAUUCCGCAGGGAAUUUAAUUGUGCAAACAUUUGUUGAGUACCUACUAUGUCCUAGGUGAUGGGAAAUUAUUACCUCGUUAUUGCUGUGUGGAAAGCAUUCCAGAAAAUUAAAAUUACUGCGCUUUCCAGAAUUUAAAUAUGGAAACCAUAGAAAAAUUGCUCUUUUUGUUACUGUUACCUCCCCCAUCUCCUAGUGACUGGGCUUUAGUCAGGAAGUAUUGGGAAUGAGGGUGGAAGCAGGAUGAAUAUGCUUUUCUCAAUUUUUUCACUUUUAAAGAAUAUCUGCAAAAACUGAAGUAUUUCUGUAGUGUAGGUUAUACGUUUAAUCAUGUGAACUUAGAAUUGUAUGCUUGCAAGGAAUGACUGGCCAGUAUCCAUGCCAGUAGAACAACAGAACGCUGAGAUUUGGAAAGAGUAAGAAGAUUAUAAUUUUAAAAGCCUUGCUCUCUUUAUAGAGUUGCAAAACAAUUCCACAUUCAUAUUUUGUACUUUACCUUAAAAUAAAAGAUUGUACGUGCAGAACUUCAUGAGUAAAUCCUGUCACGUUCAGCUAAGAGCAAUAGCACUGCAAAUUUUUUCCAAAAGGAAAUAGGCCAUCGUUUCAAGGCCAUGUGUAGUUGCCAGCCAUGAUGACAUUUAGCUGUAUCCCAACCAAAGUUAUAAUUUCUGAAAAAAACAAAUUACUACCUUUAUCUUUUUCUUUCUUUCUUUUAAUGUAUGAACUAGAUAAAAUGUAUUACUUGAAAAUGUUUAAUAUUCACAUCUGACAUUUAUAUUAUGUACUUAUUCCAAAAAUAAACUUCACAAACAAAUAUCAUUUGCUUCCUUGACCUAUAAGAAAAAUGUUGCUCCCUCUAUGUGGUAGAUAUUUUUAAGUUACAUCUUAUUAUUUAAAACAUAUUACUGUGAAUGACUUUUUCUCUUUUCAAAUGGUAAUGAGAUGUAACUUUCUAAAAUGAGUGUUCAGUUUGAAAUUGCCAAUAUCCAACCAUUUUUUACUUAUCAAAAUAGCAGUUUCAUGUGGUUCAAUCAAAUGGGUAGACAAUAUCGAUAAUGAGUAAGUGAAAUGAAAAGAGCAGAGGAGAAAGUACUUAUAACUAUUGUGCAAAAAUGUAUGAUGUACAAAAAAAUUGCAAUUUGUAGUUACACAGAUGAAGUAAAAUGAUCACAAGAUUCAUUUUUACCCCUGUCAAAUUGCUUGAGUUCACAGUGAACCAAGAAUUUGUUUUCUUUUGAGCCUCAGAAAAAAACCUCUUUUUUAAAAAACAACAAAUUAAGAAAAUAUACCAAAUGUAGUGAUCCAUGGGUCCUUGGAAUUUUAACUGUGUUUAUAUAUCCUUCUCUGUAUAUAUCAGAAUAAGUAUCCCAUUGCCGUCGAUUCCAACUUAUACCUACCCUAUAGGACAGAGUAGAACUGCCCACAUAUGUCUUCCAAGGCUGUAAUCUUUACAGAAGCUGACCGCCUCAUCUUUCUCCCGAGGAUUAGCUGGGGGGUUCUCAACUGCUACCCUUUCGGUUAGCAGUUGAGUACUUAAUCACUGUUGCCACCAGGGCUCCCUAGAAUAAGUAUAGCCAUCCAAAAUUUUGCAUUUUGACUCUGUCCCUGUGCCACUUAAGAGUUAAGGUACUACUGUUAAAUACAUUUCAUCUCCAAUUUUACCUCAAUCUAAUGGGAGCCUCCAAAACUAGGCCUAGCAGUCUAAUCAGCAUUUUAAUUGGAACUGUGUUUACUAGUAUGGUGUAAAUUUUUUUUUACCCGCUCAAAAUAGUUUUAUCAUAAAAUCAUUUACAUAAUGGUUUCUUUUGAUGCUAUCUUCUAUGAGAUUUUUAUCUCAGAUAAAUAUCCACAAAUAAGUUAAUUUUUAAAAUCAGAAUGCAAAAGUGGUAAAUUAUGAAUAUGCUUAUAUUAAAAAUAUUUAAAUAAAAUACAAAAAAAAUCUUAUUGUUACAUAGUAUCAUUGGCUUUGACAUCAUUGUAUGGUGCGAGAUUAUAGUGAUAUGAAGCUUAUAAUACUAUUUCACAUUUUUAUCCACUAAAUAAAAACCUGCCCUGUGUUUUAUUACAAAGUAGGUGGCCUGAAGGAAAAUAUAUGUAUUCUUUCCUUUUGGUAUAAAAUAUGCAUUUGGGCUUCUCAUUUCAUCCCCAAUCUGUGUUAUUCCUUAAAAAUGCAGAACUGCCUGAAGUCCUCUUUAAUAUUUAAUUCAACAACUUUUUAAUCUGUCAUUAUGCUGUGAUGAAGUAAGCAUCAAGUGUCGCUGGAAAAGAUUAAAUUAUACUUGGAAAUAGGAAUUGAAAUGAUUUAGGGUUGGAAGCUGAAUAUUUGCUUUGCACAAGUAAUAAUAAUAGUAGCUUGGGUGAAGAAGGGCUUUGGUUUGGCUUUAAUGUCUUUGCCUUGCUGUGCUCCCCUGUGGCUCCCCCUGAUUUACGCUGGCAUUACUGGGCUUUAUUUUAUUUAAAUGGAGGUAGAAAGUGGAAAUUACUACGCUACAAUACAUUAAUUACUCUGUACUAUUUCUUUGUACUGAUUUCCCUUUUUUCUGUAAACAUCAUAAACAAUGAUGCAACCUACCCCAAUGGAUAGCAGCUGUAAGCAAUCCUGUAGUUCUUGUUAACAAGCUUAUCUUAUAAAGGAAAAGCAGUAAUAAUAUCCAUCUGUGGAAUAAAGGAUAGUGAGAAGCAAAGGAACAUUUAUGCUUUCCUUGUCAUAGAGGAUGAAGUCCUACAUGAGAGUAAGUUGUGACAGUAUGUGUUAAUAUUCUAACCACUGCUUUUUACUUCUUGCUUUUAAGUCUGAACUUUCAUGUGUGGACUAUUUUGCACUUAGGGACAAAGGUAUAAAUUUUUAGAUCUCUUAGCGACUCUUGGGUUGUUCAACGGGUGACAAAUAAAGACUAACAUAUUUGGAGUCCUUGGUCUCUGCACACCUUCAGAUCUUCUAUCAUAUGGAAAUCUUUCUGGUAGUCUCUAGCUGCUUAGGCUGAUUUUUAACCUAGUUCUAUAGCUCUGGCUACAUGAGGCCAAAGCAAUCAGCAGUUUAGUGGAGAAAACUAAUUGAGAAAUUAUUUGAUCACAUACACAAAAGAGCCCCAUGUGGUUGUUCGAAAGAAUGCUUAUUUCAAUUUUCCUGUAAUGCCUGUGUGUUGAUGGCUUACAUGUGUACUCUGGCCAUGUUUGUAAUGAUUGUCUUCAAAACAUAUCUUCACUUGUCAUGAUUUGGCAUGAUGACAGUCCUUUUCAAAAUAAGUCUGGAUAUAGACUAAAACCUUGACAUGCAGCACACCUGUUGGAAUAUUCACUCCCAGAAAUCCACUGUAUCUGUAUUUCAGAUGUCCUCUUAUUUAGCAUCAUGUCCUGUCCUAGAACAAUAACAGAAAGAGCCUCUUUACUCUUUUUAAACAUUUCUUUCAAAUGAGAAUGUAGACUUACUGUAGGUUCAGAAUUAUGUAUUAACUCCUCAGAAUUUUUUUUUUUAAAGUUGGCAAAAUAUUUUUAGGCUCACGAAGUUUUUGUUACCCUUUUCUAAUACAGUCAUGCGCCACAUGUUAGUUCGGGAAGGAUUGGAUCGCAUAUACGUUCCUGGUCUUGUGCUUCCUCCGGGGGAUGCCCACAGCCCAAGUCAGCAGCAAGCCCACGUUGCAGCCCCUCACCUGCGGGAACAGGAGCCCCUGCCGCUGGCCUACCAAAGAUUUUUGAUGUGCAGAUAUUUAUUGGCUACCAUAAUUGUGAUGGCUAUAAUACUUUUUAUUCUUAAACAUGAAAAAGAACAUUAGAAAGGUACGUAUUUGAAAUUUUUAUUACUUUUCUAUUUUUAUUCAAAUGUUCAUCAUACAGCAGUGAGAAGGUACACAAAUAAUAUUUUCAUGCAUGCAAAAUAAUUUAGAAAGCAGUAUGAAUCUCAGCAGGUGUUUCUUCCAUGUCUGUUCUCAAAUUCCCAGGGAACCUUGAAUAUUAAAUUGAAAUAACCCUCCCUUGAUAUUAUGAAGCUAAAGUUCAGUUUAAUUCUCAGGUAAGGUUUUUCUGGACACAUCAUUUUCCUUUCAUGUAAAUAAAAAUCAGAGUCCUUAGAUUUUAAUACUUGCUGCCUUAAAAAGUAAAUCAAAGUGCUGCUAAGUACUCGCUUAUUUCCUUAGUGCUUUUAUUAAGACAUUUCUGUUACCACUAAAUAUAUGGAUUAUAGGGAUGCUGUAAAAAUGUUCUUAUUUCCUUCUCCACUGGUUGAUGAAAUGGGUUAAUCUCUCAAUAGAGCCAUUUCCUUAAUUCACCACCUGUUUUCAAAUCUCUAGUAAUCGACAGGGUAAGCAGAUAGAUUCCUCUGUGUGUGCCUUUUAUACCUAUUUCACAGAGAUAGACAUAGAAUAAAAAAGUAAGAAAAAAAUCUUCCUUGAAUUUUUUUAGGUAAGUUGUUCCACAUUACUAAAAAGCUGCCAUAUUUAAAUUAUCAUUCAGUAACUCAAUUAUGUAGCUUACCUGGCAUCCUUUCAAUGAGAUUUUCAACUCAAAAGGGCAUACCGCUACAUAAACUGUAUUUAUUACCCUUUUUUAAAAACUGUUCAGUUCCUUAGCAUCAUAUUGUGAUAAUAUGAUAGAGAUUUAACUAAUGCAAAUUUUAUAUUUUUUAUUAAGAAACAAAGGAAUUGAUUUUGUAUUUGUAAAACUAAAUGUGUGCUUGGCUGUUAUGGCUGGAAUGUCUCAACUGUAUAUAAGUAAUCAUUUAUUGUUUAAAUACAGUAGAGGCUGUAACAAAAUGCUGUCAAGAGCCAUCACACUCAUUAACCUGCAAGCUAAUUAGCCUCCUCCUGCCUGAUUGCUGACAAGUUCUUCAAUCUGAACCCGUUGCUGUUGUGUCAGCAGAGAAGCACAGAGUGAGGCAGAGGAGGUCUCCAUUAGAUGUUUGUGAACAAAGUCUCUGCACUAAAGGUUUGUUUUUUACACUCUAACAAAUGUUAGAGCAUUCAUAUCCCCAGCUAUGAUUAAAUCGGCAACUCUUAAUUACUGUAAUUAGUAUAUUAACUGUUUCCUUUCCUGUUCAUCUAUAAUUGAUUUCAAGAAAUUACAUGUAAUUUAAUGUGAUUUAAAAAAUUUAAUCAUUGUUAAAAGGUUUUAAUAGUUCAAUGUAUAUCUAAAUGCUAUUGAAUAUUUGAAAUAAUAUGCAUAAUAAAAUCACUUAAGUGCAGUGUGCUGUCAAAACCAGUAUAUACGGGCUUUAUAUUCACAUGCCCUUUUUUUUCUAUACAAACAUGACAUUCAUUCCCCCAUUAGAUUUUUCCCUCCCUCUAGUAGGCUAAGAUUUCUUAACUAGGUUGCAAAUUACAAUUGGAAUGAUAGAACAUUUUACAAAAGCAUCUUAAAAUAUGAAUUCAUUACUUUGUGGAAGACUAAUUCAUUUAGAAUAGCUUCUUGAGGGCAAAAAACAUUCAUAAGAUAUUUUGCUUGUUAUACCAUCCGAUCAAGCUCAAGACGAUAGAGAUUACCAGAAAAAAUAAGAGUACUUUUUUAGAUUGGCAGAUGUUCUGAGAACAAAUUGAUGAAGUCUCUUCUGAAAUUUCAGUAUUAUCACUGUUACCUUUUUCUGGCAAAUAUUAUUAUUUUGAUUUUAAAGUAUUUGAAUUAUCUUCAACAAAUUGGAGGACUAAACUGUUCUAAAAUGUCACACACACCAGCAAAAUGUAUUCACAUGUCGGAAAAAAACAUGUAUGAAAAUCUAUUGUACUUCUAGUUUAUGUAGGGAAAACUGCUGUUUGAGAGUAUCUGAUUUAAAAGUACUGGAUUGCAGUAAGAAACGGCAUCAAAGUUUAUGGGAGCUUUCCAUACAAGUGUAUGUUUACUCUGUAUUGGACAUGGCCAGGAUUGUCAUUUGUAUAGCAUCUUGUAAAGAUCUUAAUCUGUAUGAAUAUAUAUUUACCACUAGCCAGUUUUAACUAAGCCCUAAUUAAGGAUCUGAUGUUGUAAAUAAAAUUUAAAAUAUAUUAAUUUCAUUUAAUCAUUCUUACAAUAAUUAAGAUAUUAAUGUGACUUACUUCAACUUUCAUUAGCUUACAGAUGGCAACCAUUUUAUGAAGAACUACCCAGCUCACUACAAAAUACAUCAUCCUUUAAUGGACAUGGCCUUUUAACUGCAGUGGCCUAGAAAUAAGCAUUCUAACUCGAGCCUCAAGCCAACUGUACAUAAGUGUGAUGGAAUAAUAUAUUAUGAAGUCCUUCUUGCACUAUAGCUCCUUGGGCCUGUGGUUUCCUGGUCAGGAAAGACAUAUUUGUAGCUUCUAAGACAGUAUUUUGACAGUUUCUAUAAUAUAAUUGAUCAAUUGGGAACUACUUACUGUUCUCACCAAUAAGGAUGUCCUUUCACCGCCAUUCCCCAUCUCUACCCCAACUUCUCCAGCACAGCCUGAUCCUCAGAGAAGAAAAACGCCCCCUUCCCAAAUUUUUCAUAAUCUCCUUUAGAAUGUGAAGCAACUUAAAUUUUAGGGAAUUUAGUGUUAUAAUGAUUCACAUUUGCUUUAGAGAGUAAAUAAAAUGAAUGUAGGGGCCUUUUGAAUUUUAGGAUCCAUUUGAGAAUCACUGGGUCAUUUAUAUUAGAGUUUGUAACCAUAAUAUCAGAGUCUUAACUAAAUUCUGAACUUGUUGAGAGAUGGAAACCUAUGGAACAUCUAGCUCACUCCUCUCAUUUUAUAGAUAAGGGAAAUGAGACUCGGGAGAUCCAGCUUGCCCAUGGCGAUACUGCCAAAUAGUACAGCAGAUAUGAUGUGAGGAUCCAGAUCCUCGGACUUCUACUCUAGUGUUCUAAAUUUUAUAAAUUCAGAUUGUAGUGGAUUGAUUUAAUACUUCCUUUUAGAUACAUAUGAUUUGUAUUAUAGUUACUUUAUAUUGAAUGUGAAAUUUGGUUAAGGUAUAUGAGUACAAUUUUUUUGCUUAAAGUGGAUGAUCAAAGUCAGGUAAAACAGUAAGUCUUUGUAAAGAACACAUGAGUAAUAAAAUAGAAGUGGCUGAAUUUGGAACUGAUUUGUACAAAAAAAAAAAAAA